rnacentral:rRNA from 1 species
ACGAACGCUGGCGGCGUGCUUAACACAUGCAAGUCGAACGGGAUUUAGUAGACAGAAGCCUCGGUGGAAGAUUACUAAUGAGAGUGGCGAACGGGUGAGUAACGCGUGAGCAACCUGCCUAUGACAGUGGGAUAGCCUCGGGAAACCGGGAUUAAUACCGCAUAAAAAUCGUAGAAACACAUGUUUCAACGGUCAAAGAUUUAUCGGUCAUAGAUGGGCUCGCGUCUGAUUAACUAGUUGGUGAGAUAACAGCCCACCAAGGCGACGAUCAGUAGCCG